ensembl:rRNA 5S_rRNA 5S ribosomal RNA
GUCUAUGGUCAUACCACCCUGAACACACCCAAUCUCAUCUGAUCUCAGAAGCUCAGCAGGGUUGGACCUGGUUAGUACUCAGAAAUUUAGAGGGGAGGGAGAGAUAGAGGGAAAGAGACAGAGAUACUGCAGUCC